rnacentral:lncRNA from 1 species
GCACCGCCGAGGCUCGGGGGCUUGGCCCGGCCGCCCGCAGACCUGGGCCUCGCACCUCGCGCCCGGAUGCCGCUCUCUCCCCGCGCGGUCACCCGUUCCCUGGGAAGCAGAGUGGGCAGCUGUGGCAGAUGGGACUGAUGGGACGAGGACGACGCGUGGAAAUGACUGUGAGGGUGGACAGAGGCCUGGGGGUCUGGAUCUGUCACCAAGGCUGGAGUGCCAGGGCACCACCAUAGCUCACUGCAGCCUCGCUCUCCCAGGCUUAAGUGAUCCUCCUGCUUCAGCUCCUGGAGUAGCUGGGAUUACAGAACUCUGAACGGAGAAGGUGGAAAGGGCCUUCAGCGGAAGUCCAGGUUACUUACUAAAGCGGAAUGGAAGCCAACAGAUACCAGCG